AUUGAACGCUGGCGGCAGGCCUAACACAUGCAAGUCGAACGAGUGGCGGACGGGUGAGUAAUGUCUGGGAAACUGCCUGAUGGAGGGGGAUAACUACUGGAAACGGUCGCUAAUACCGCAUACCAUCAGAUGUGCCCAGAGGGGAUUCGCUUGUUGGUGGGGUAACGGCUCACCCAGGCGACGAUCCCUAGCUGGUUUGAGAGGCUGGCCAGCCACACUGGGACUGAGACACGGUCCAGACUCCUACGGGAGGCAGCAGUGGGGAAUAUUGCACAAUGGGCGAAAGCCUGAUGCAGCCAUGCCGCGUGUAUGAAGAAGGCCUUCGGGUUGUAAAGUACUUUCAGCGGGGAGGCGUUACCCGCAGAAGAAGCACCGGCUAACUCCGUGCCAGCCGCCGCGGUAAUUC
rnacentral:rRNA from 1 species